rnacentral:tRNA from 1 species
AUUUAUUUAAUAUAAAAAGUAUAUUUGAUUUCCAAUCAAAAAGUCUAAUUAUUAUAGAAUAAAUA